rnacentral:rRNA from 1 species
UUUUUCCUACGGGAGGCAGCAGUGAGGAAUAUUGGUCAAUGGCCGAGAGGCUGAACCAGCCAAGUCGCGUGAGGGAAGAAUGUCCUAAGGAUUGUAAACCUCUUUUGUCGGGGAGCAAAAAGGCUCUGCGGAGUCGUAUUGAGAGUACCCGAAGAAAAAGCAUCGGCUAACUCCGUGCCAGCAGCCGCGGUAAUACGGAGGAUGCGAGCGUUAUCCGGAAUGAUUGGGCGUAAAGGGUGCGUAGGCGGCCUGCUAAGUCUGGAGUGAAAGGUACCGGCUCAACCGGUACAGGCUCUGGAAACUGG